GAGGCAGGCAGAACAGACAUCAGGUGUGAAGGUGGAAGCAAAGUUCUCUCAGAUGGAAGGAGCUCUGUGGGAGGAAGGGGAGCUGGCCCAGGGGCAUACCCCCGAUGCCGUCUCACCUGGCAGUGAAGAGCCAGUGUUGAGCCGCACUCUUUGCGGAGGUGUGGAAACAGCUGCGGC